rnacentral:rRNA from 1 species
AACACAUGCAAGUCGAACGGAACUUCUUUGACAGAAUUCUUCGGAAGGAAGUUGAUUGAGUUUAGUGGCGGACGGGUGAGUAACGCGUGAGUAACCUGCCUUUGAGAGGGGAAUAACUUCCCGAAAGGGAUGCUAAUACCGCAUGAAGCAUAUUUAUCGCAUGGUAGAUAUGCCAAAGAUUUAUCGCUCAAAGAUGGACUCGCGUCCGAUUAGCCAGUCGGCGGGGUAACGGCCCACCAAAGCGACGAUCGGUAGCCGGACUGAGAGGUUGAACGGCCACAUUGGGACUGAGACACGGCCCAGACUCCUACGGGAGGCAGCAGUGGGGGAUAUUGCGCAAUGGGGGAAACCCUGACGCAGCAACGCCGCGUGAAGGAUGAAGGUUUUCGGAUUGUAAACUUCUUUUAUUUAGGACGAACAAUGACGGUACUAAAUGAAUAAGCUCCGGCUAACUACGUGCCAGCAGCCGCGGUAAUACGUAGGGAGCAAGCGUUAUCCGGAUUUACUGGGUGUAAAGGGUGCGUAGGCGGCUUGGUAAGUCAGAUGUGAAAUGUAUGGGCUCAACCCAUGCACUGCAUUUGAAACUAUUGAGCUUGAGUGAAGUAGAGGUAGGCGGAAUUCCCCGUGUAGCGGUGAAAUGCGUAGAGAUAGGGAGGAACACCAGUGGCGAAGGCGGCCUACUGGGCUUUAACUGACGCUGAGGCACGAAAGCGUGGGUAGCAAACAGGAUUAGAUACCCUGGUAGUCCACGCUGUAAACGAUGAUUACUAGGUGUGGGGGGUCUGACCCCUUCCGAAACGGAGUUAACACAAUAAGUAAUCCACCUGGGGAGUACGUAUAAGGGGUUGCAACUCAAAGGAAUUGACGG